rnacentral:lncRNA from 1 species
AGAAAUAACUGGGGGCAUGGAGAAUGCGGUGGCUGUAAAGGGCCGCUGAGGCGGUGGAGGCCUGGCAGAGAGCGUCCCCGCGGUCGCGGCUUCUGGCUUCUCUGUGGAGCUUGGUUCUUCCGUGGUGGUGCAGCACCCCAGGAACUUCAGGAACCAGUCCUUCCUUGGAGAGCUCCCCGGGACAGCCACGGGGGCCAAGUGAAACUAGCGCGUUUUCUUGGAUCCUACACUUUAUAGUGAGUCAUAAAUACUUUAAAUACAAAGCCAACAACAUUUGCUGCAAAUAAACGUAAAAAUACUGUUAAAGUGUAAAGUGUUUUCCUCCGUACCAUCUGACGUUUCUGGCGGUUCGUUGAACGCGAGAGAACGCUGAGCCGUCUGCACUGAGCCCGGGAGCAUCUUCAGGGCAGCGCCGCCCACGCGCGAGGUGAAUGAAGGACACGGCCUCUUGACACUCCCAGGCAGCACAGAUAGACGGAUCCGUAAGUGGCUCCCGCGCAUGUUAAAAUUUGUAUACUGUAAGGUAUUUCAUGGAUUGAGUGAAAUACCUGACAGGGCCUGUAUCCGUUCCCUAUUGCCACAAUAACCAAAAACCACAAACUUUGUAGCUUGAAACAGCACAAAUUUAUCAUCUGACAGACAAUGCAUUUAUUAUCUCACGGUUCUGUAGAUCAGAAGUGCUACCUGGGUGUCACCCGGGCUGCACUCCUUUCUGGUGACUCCACAGGACAAUCCUUAGCUUGCCUUUGCCAGCUUCUGUCCACAUUCCUUGGCUUUGGUCCCUUCCUCCAUCUUCAAAGCCAGUGAUAUGCCAUCUCUCUGAACCUUCCAUCCUCAAGUCUACCGCUGAUUGCAGCUGGAAAAGAUUCUGAGGGCUCACCUGAGUAAUCCAGGAUCAUCUUCCCAUUUCCAGGUCUCUGCCCUUGAUCACAUCAGCAGAAUCCUUUUGCCAUAUCCCAGUUUCUGACCUGUAGCAUAGUCCCUCUCUCUGAAGAACUUCCUGUAAUAUUUUUUGCUAGGAAGAGUUUGAAGUUUGAAAUCCCAGAAUGAGGAAAUUCAUCCAGCUUGGAGACUUCCAAUCCCUUCAUUGUGCAGAAGGUUGCUAAUGCUCUCAGGAGAAGCCCUUCACCAAGAGAAUACUUCCACAUAGAGUCCUCUCCAUUGAGACUAAGGAAACAUGCUAUGUCAUGUAGCCACAGCAGCCUUUGCAGCUGUUGAAGGCAGCAAGACUUGCAUGGCAAUCAGAAGACACAGAACCAAGACUCAUAUCCAGUUAUAAGAUGGCAGAUGGGACACACACUCAUCAGGCUUAGUGAGCAGCCAAUCCAGAGGGAACCAUACUCAGCCCUAGGGGCUGGGCGCGGUGGCUCUCGCCUGUAAUCCCAGCACUUUGGGAGGCCAAGGCGGAUGGAUCACCUGAGGUCACGAGUUCAAGACCAGCCUGACCAACAUGGAGAAAUCCCAUCUCUACUAAAAAUACAAAAUUAGCUGGGCAUGGUGGUGCAUGCCUGUAAUCCCAGUUACUCGGGAGGCUGAGGCAGGAGAAUCACUCGAACCCGAGAGGCAGAGGUUGUGGUG